rnacentral:ncRNA from 2 species
GAAUCGGCGUUGAUAGGAUUUAGUAGUAUUUCGUUUUCUGAUUUCAGAGAGCUGGUGGUCGGUGCGAACCAGUACAGAGCGAUUUAUGAAUUACCCCCUGGAGCUUCUUUUACGAAACGUGAGGAGUAGUGAAAGACGGUUUAGACCGUUAUGUCUAAAGAGUGGUGAAAUGAAACUGUUUCACAAUUUAGGGUGGUACCGCGAAUUUUUCGUCCCUGCA